AAGAAAAAAGGAAUCUUUGUGCAGAGAAAAGGCCCUCUGAUCAUAUGGACAGACAGAGCUGAUGAGCUACCAUUACACCACACCACACCUAGCUCCAAACAGGGACACAUGACAUGGACCUUUCUCUAUCUAACCCAAGUGAAUUGCGACGGCGGCGGGGACGGGGACGGCGACAGUGGUAUUACGGGAUGAUCGAACGCUGUCGGCGACGUGAUAAUAAGCCUUGUCGAAAUUCACGAACCCCAUGAACCAGAACUCGUGCGCAUCCACGGUUACAACGCGGAUGUACUUCUCCGGCCGGGUACUCUCCCGUCUCGACGUCACGGUCGCGAUGCUUCCGAAAGGCUGUCUCCGUCAGGAACGGCACGGGACGGUCGCUGCAGAAAGCGACGCGGGCGGUCGACACGUACAGAGUUCCGGGAACGGGGCCGGCAACGGUCGAAAUGUAGCAGGCGAAGGUCUUCUUCAAUUUCUCGCGGGUCGGAUCCGACGUCGGGAAAUUCUGCCGGAAUAGCGACUCGAACCCGCCUUCCGUCAUCGCCUUCGUCGCGAGAUUGACCUUCCCCCACGCCGCGGAGGACACCGACGUCCCCGACGUCACUGCACAUCGAAAAAAUCGAGUCUUUAGCAUUACGAACCGACAGUACAUUGACUAAUAAAAAACGGCGUUACGAGCUCACGGUUGUGCCAUAUGUUGCGGCCGAGUCCUUCGGCCCUCCGACUCCACGAGUCGAGAAAAUCGACAACGUAAUCGCAGGGGUUUCCGGUAGGCUUUUGGAGAGGGGUGUAGAUGAGAUACGGCUGGUGUCUCUGAUGAGGCGCCGCCGCCGCCACUCUGCCGCCGUCGAUUGAGGUCGCCAUGGCCAACCUUUGCGAGGAUCAUAUUUAAGAAAAUGUGAAAUGAUAUAUAUAUGUAGAUAUAUGUGUGUAUGUAUAUAUGUAUGUAUAGGUUGGUGUGAAGGGAAUGGGAUGCUUAAUGGAUGGAAUUGGACAUGGAAGAAUUGAAAAAUAUCGACCACAUUCGAAUUGAUGUUGUAAGGAAUCGUUAUCUCGUGAAUAAUUCCAUUGUUGUCCCUUUUUAUUUA